rnacentral:rRNA from 1 species
CCUACGGGAGGCAGCAGUGAGGAAUAUUGGUCAAUGGGCGCGAGCCUGAACCAGCCAAGUAGCGUGAAGGAUGACUGCCCUACGGGUUGUAAACUUCUUUUAUAAAGGAAUAAAGUGAGGCACGUGUGCCUUUUUGUAUGUACUUUAUGAAUAAGGAUCGGCUAACUCCGUGCCAGCAGCCGCGGUAAUACGGAGGAUCCGAGCGUUAUCCGGAUUUAUUGGGUUUAAAGGGAGCGUAGAUGGGUUGUUAAGUCAGUUGUGAAAGUUUGCGGCUCAACCGUAAAAUUGCAAUUGAUACUGGCAGCCUUGAGUACAGUUGAGGUAGGCGGAAUUCGUGGUGUAGCGGUGAAAUGCUUAGAUAUCUGGAAGAACAUCAGUGGCGAAGGCAACUAUCUAAAACGUAACUGACGCUGAGGAGCGAAAGCGUGGGUAGCAAACAGGAUUAGAUACCCGUGUAGUC